UGGUUUUCGUGUCUACCUGUGUCACCGUGUUAGAAAAUAGAAAGGGAAACAGAGACUAAGAAAGACGUGUCCACCGACUUUCUGGGAUGAAGCAUUGAAGAUCCUUCCAUUUAUGUUUCUAUAAUGGGACAUCACUGUCGCGUGAGAGCGGACCAACUACAAGUGAUGAUUUAUAUACAAGAGAUGAUCAUGAUGAGGAGCUUUGGGUGA